UAAAUGAUGUUUUUUUCUACUUUCUUUUUUUAUAUAUUGAAUCUGAAUUGGUGGGACCCACCAGAUGGGAUCCACAACUUUCUCAAGUAAUCCGGUUUUCUUGAGAAAACUUGUGUAGGUAGCACCGUUACUCUCCAAGGAGGGAUGGUGCUGUCAUCAUCUCAUUUUCCAUUCGUUUAGGCUGCUGAACUUGGCUAUUUUUUCGCACCCAGAAUAAGAAAAACGUUCGGACUAUGAUGUUAUCCUUGGCAUCAUUGACAAAUCCAACGUCUCAAUUGGUUCUUUUACCCGCUCUUUCCUUUUUUUAAAAACGAGCUUGACUGAUGAGAUGGCCAUUGUGCAAAUAUGUGUGCGUAUAUUGUUUUUUUUUUUUUUUUUUUUUUUCUCACAGGUUAAUAGUUUUCGACUACUAACCCUAGGAAGUAAAAGAAAGGCAGGCACAAUUAUGAUCAUGUUCCGAUUCACAUUUGGGGUUUCACCCAUCCCUCUUCCCAUUCUAUAUUCCUUUAAGCCAAUUCGAGACGAUUCCACAUAUCGAUGUCGGAACAGGAUCAAGUGGUGAACUGUCGUGCCACGGGGAUCCUUUUCUAUAGGUCGCAGCUCCAUUAGCUGUGAAUGGGCCCGUGUCAGUACAAGGGACCUAUGGACUGUGGUCACGCUGCGGUGAUGACAAAGGUUUACCUUUGAAGUGAAUAACAACUUUUGAAUGCAGACGUUGCAUAGGUUCUUCAUUGUCGACGCUGGAUGCGGGUUCAAGAUGCUUGGAAAGCCCUCAAGGCUUUUCUUGAUGCACGUACAAAUGCUGUGAUCAAAAAACUUGCUGAGCUUUCUGGGUGGAAAUUGCACAUGCUCUGACUAUGGUGGUUGCUUGUUUGGCGACAAAGAACCAUGGCGCAAUCCAGAGAUUGUAGAGAUGCUUCAGGAGUUUUCAUCUGCAGGAGAAGAAAACACCAGUGGGAUCUAAAGUUUUAUUGCCGGAAAACUCGGCUCCUAUUUCUGUAAGCGACUUACUUUUCUAGUUCUAAUUUUCAUCAUCACAUUCCUGGAUACUCAAAACAUCAGCUGAGUAGUGGAGAAAUAAGAUAUUCAGUUGUCAAC